rnacentral:rRNA from 1 species
AGAGUUUGAUCCUGGCUCAGGAUGAACGCUAGCGACAGGCUUAACACAUGCAAGUCGAGGGGCAGCGAGGGAGUGGCAACACUUCUGUCGGCGACCGGCGCACGGGUGAGUAACGCGUAUGCAACCUGCCCUUCACAGGGGGAUAACCGGGAGAAAUUCCGACUAAUACCGCAUACGUCCUCCGGGGGCAUCCCCGGGGGAUGAAAGAAUUAUCGGUGAAGGAUGGGCAUGCGUGAUAUUAGGUAGUUGGCGGGGCAACGGCCCACCAAGCCCACGAUAUCUAGGGGUUCUGAGAGGAAGGUCCCCCACAUUGGUACUGAGACACGGACCAAACUCCUACGGGAGGCAGCAGUGAGGAAUAUUGGUCAAUGGCCGAGAGGCUGAACCAGCCAAGUCGCGUGAAGGAAGAAGGAUCUAUGGUUUGUAAACUUCUUUUAUAGGGGAAUAAAGUGGAGGACGUGUCCUUUUUUGUAUGUACCCUAUGAAUAAGCAUCGGCUAACUCCGUGCCAGCAGCCGCGGUAAUACGGAGGAUGCGAGCGUUAUCCGGAUUUAUUGGGUUUAAAGGGUGCGUAGGCGGUUUAUUAAGUUAGUGGUUAAAUAUUUGAGCUAAACUCAAUUGUGCCAUUAAUACUGGUAAACUGGAGUACAGACGAGGUAGGCGGAAUAAGUUAAGUAGCGGUGAAAUGCAUAGAUAUAACUUAGAACUCCGAUAGCGAAGGCAGCUUACCAGACUGUAACUGACGCUGAUGCACGAGAGCGUGGGUAGCGAACAGGAUUAGAUACCCUGGUAGUCCACGCCGUAAACGAUGCUCACUGGAUCUUGGCGAUACACGGCCAGGGUUCAAGCGAAAGUAUUAAGUGAGCCACCUGGGGAGUACGUCGGCAACGAUGAAACUCAAAGGAAUUGACGGGGGCCCGCACAAGCGGAGGAACAUGUG